rnacentral:rRNA from 1 species
AUGGGCACUAGGAAGCAUCUUGUUUUUCCUUUGGUGUAUCAACUUCUAAAGUUCGUGCAAAUUUUGACGGUUGCCACAACGUCAGUGGAGAGAUGCUUUUCAGCAAUGAAUAUUGUCAAGAGUGUUUUGCGCAACAAAAUGGGUGUCGAGUUCCUAAAUGAGUGA